rnacentral:snRNA from 1 species
UUUUUAAAGAUUUUAUAAAGAUU